rnacentral:rRNA from 1 species
GACGAACGCUGGCGGCGUGCUUAACACAUGCAAGUCGAACGGAAAGGCCCUGCUUUUGUGGGGUGCACGAGUGGCGAACGGGUGAGUAACACGUGAGUAACCUGCCCUUGACUUUGGGAUAACUUCAGGAAACUGGGGCUAAUACCGGAUAGGAGCUCCUGCUGCAUGGUGGGGGUUGGAAAGUUUCGGCGGUUGGGGAUGGACUCGCGGCUUAUCAGCUUGUUGGUGGGGUAGUGGCUUACCAAGGCUUUGACGGGUAGCCGGCCUGAGAGGGUGACCGGCCACAUUGGGACUGAGAUACGGCCCAGACUCCUACGGGAGGCAGCGGUGGGGAAUAGUGCACAAUGGGCGGAAGCCUGAUGCAGCAACGCCGCGUGCGGGAUGACGGCCUUCGGGUUGUAAACCGCUUUCGCCUGUGACGAAGCGUGAGUGACGGUAAUGGGUAAAGAAGCACCGGCUAACCACGUG